rnacentral:rRNA from 1 species
GACGAACGCUGGCGGCGUGCUUAACACAUGCAAGUCGAACGGAAAGGCCCUGCUUUUGUGGGGUGCUCGAGUGGCGAACGGGUGAGUAACACGUGAGUAACCUGCCCUUGACUUUGGGAUAACUUCAGGAAACUGGGGCUAAUACCGGAUAGGAGCUCCUGCUGCAUGGUGGGGGUUGGAAAGUUUCGGCGGUUGGGGAUGGACUCGCGGCUUAUCAGCUUGUUGGGGGGGUAGUGGCUUACCAAGCCUUUGACGGGUAGCCGGCCUGAGAGGGUGACCGGCCACAUUGGGACUGAGAUACGGCGCAGUCUCCUACGGGAGGCAGCAGUGGGGAAUAUUGCACAAUGGGCGGAAGCCUGAUGCAGCAACGCCGCGUGCGGGAUGACGGCCUUCUGGUUGUAAACCGCUUUCGCCUGUGACGAAGCGUGAGUGACGGUAAUGGGUAAAGAAGCACCGGCUAACUACGUG